ACAUUGCUGCCAUGUAGUAGUUGGAACAUGAGCUUGGGGUCAUGUCUUCCUUUGAUUAUAGGUUGGGGAGAACGGCUAUGGAUCUAUUCCUUCAUAUUCUUCAAAGCCAUAUGGAGGACUUCCUUCAACCCUGGAGAUUGUCAUCGUGGCCCAUGCAGUGGGUAAAGUGAUGGGUAAAGGUGGAGCAAACAUAGGAAAUAUUCGUAAGGUAUGUUCCGUUCCCAGUUAUUAUUGUUUUAUAUCAAGUAACAGGCUUGUGUUUUUAACAGUCCCAUUCAAUGAACUAUCCCCAAA